UGCAAAGUUUUCAUGUAGCUAAUAUUUUUCAUUGUAUAUUUAGCACACCUAUCUAAAAUUCACAGACAACGUAUGUAGUUCUGGGUAUGUGGUUAUUGAGCAAAAACAUGUUUAGAUCACAACUUACGUUCAUUCGUAUGCAAUAUAAAUUUCUUCAUGACAUGGUGUAUGUUGAACUUUCAUCUUUGAAAAAUGUUGCUUAAAAAAGAGUGUCGCUAUUUGUUGGCAACGUUAAAAUUUAACUAUUACGAAUUGGCAAUAAAAGUAAAAUAAUCACUCAUAUAUUGAUAUAUACUAUUAUUCCCAUUUUAACUUAGGAAGAUUUAGUAUAAGAAUUGUUUCCCUAUCGACGAUUCAUCGUAUUCAUUGGAGAAGACGCCUUACGAAAAUUUCGAUAAAAUUGUGCAAAGCAUUUUCAUCAAAAGUGAAUCAUGAGCGCCGACGACGACGUUGAUAACGUUGAUCAACAAGAACUAGACAGUGUUUUACGUAUUGAAGAAGUUGCAAGCGAUUGUUGAAAUUCAUAUUCCAUUAAAAUCCUACAGUGGCAGUACGGCCCUACGAACAAACGAUUUGUCUCUGAAUCGAGACAGUAAAUAUCAAUAUGCUGUCCUGUUGAAGUGCUAAAAAUCCUACGGAGAGGAAUCAAAUCAAGUUGAUGAUGCCGAUUCACUUCAGGAAACAAAUCAAGAUGAACUAAAUGGACUUGAAUUAAAAGACCUUGAGGUCAGCAAUCUCUUUGAGGACAGCAGGCAGAAUAUGGAUUGUCAUCUUUAUUUUAUGUCGGUUCCUCCAGAACUUUGAUGACUGUAAUUUGUUAUGGCAUGUCAAAAUACAAUUUGUGUUUUUACAACCAUUGAAAUUGUUACAAUGAUCAUAAAUAUUACAUCGAUAUGCAAUUUUUAGCAACCUCAAUAUUUGGGGGAGAACGUAUUCAUAAAUGCAUGUUCUGCAGAAUUAAAUUCUUUUUGAAAUGCAUUCUUUUCUUUAGAUUAAGAUAUGCAUUCAUAAAUUCGAGCCCCUCCCCCUUCCUCAUCAACGAGUUUACUACGCCUCUGUUAUGAAAUAGACAGAGUAAAUUAGAACAUAAAUAGAACAUUUUUAUCAUUAGUCCAUAGUAAAAUGUAGACUUACUCAAGUAAGUUAAUUAAAGUUCAAAUAUCGUCACGUCCAAUAUGUCAAUGUCAUUAAUAAGAAAGUACAUACAGGUUAGAGAUAUUAUGGGGAAAAA